AAAAAAUCUAGAAAAAGAAGAAAAAAAAGCAUAGAACUUUUAGAGCGAAAUAAUAGUUUAGAGAGUGAAAAAUCUGUAAUUUCAUUAACAAGCCAGUAAAGGUAACGAACAUAUAAAUACCUGUUGAUGGAUGGUGGUGUAGAAGGUUAGAGGGAAUGGUAAUUGGUGAUAUUGUUUUCAAAAUAAAAUAUACAUAUAUAAUAUAUAUAUUGAUUUGCUGAUAUCUCUCUAACAUAACCCUAAAUAUGUGCCGCUUCCUACCUCUGUGUCUCUCUACCAUCUCUCUUCUCUGCACUCUUGAUUGAGUCUUGACUACUACCAGGCAGAGGCAGCUCCAUCUGCACGCAAAGCUCCAGGCAGUCAAGGAGGCGACGGAGGUGGAGAGGGCCGGGAACCAGGCAUUCAAGGUUUCAGGCUGUGGAGAGGGCCGGGAACCAGGCAUUCAAGGUUUCAGGCUGUGGAGAGGGCCGGGAACCAGGCAUUCAAGAUUUUUUUGCUUACAAGAUGGUCUUAAAGAGCAUGAGUUGUGUGUGUUUUCCCGUAAUAAUCACUUCAAUACCAUGUUUAAGUUCAAGGGGGAGCUUUAUCUUUUGGCUACAGACCAAGGCUGCAUUAAUCGACCCGACUUGGUUCGGGAGAAGCUAAAUGAGAUGGGUCAAUCGUGUAUAUGAAACGGUGAAAAUAUAAAUUGUGUUAAGUAGUACAGGGAGAUGAUGGUUGAACAACAUAUUAAUGAGAUGGUUGAAUUUGGUUGGUGAUACAACACAAUUACAUCUUUGGACCCAACUCGACUGAUGCCCACCCACACCAUAAGUCGAUCCUUCCCUCCUCAUACUUAGGGCCACUGCGAAAGUGGCUGAUGCUCAUAUUAUAACUGAACAUCCGCCUAAAAGGGUGGGUGGGAAUACUCAGUCUUUUGUGGAAGACAAUCUUCGAUUUUCCAGCUAUAAAUUUAUAGCCAAGAAGAUCAAGGCGAAGAUAUUAUUUUUUUGAUUGGUCGAACCAGAUUAACCUUGGUCCCAUUUGGAACCAAGGAAAUGAAGAAGGAACGUGUUGGGCUGUUUGUGUAACGAGCCUAGCAGACAUUUUUGAUAGGAUCGCUAACCGGCACAGUGGACCAACUUUGAAAUAUUCACCGCAACCAAUUAUUAAUUAUUGGUGUAAUUGCGGACUUGAACGGGAUGAAUAUAACGAAGCAAUGAAAGCAGUUGAAUAUUUUAUUCAAUUUGGA